rnacentral:rRNA from 1 species
GAUGAACGCUAGCGGGAGGCUUAACACAUGCAAGUCGAGGGGCAGCAUAGGGUAGCAAUACUCUGAUGGCGACCGGCAAACGGGUGAGUAACGCGUAUGCAACCUACCCUGUACAGGGGGAUAACCCGGAGAAAUUCGGACUAAUAUCCCGUAAUAAUAUCCGGAGGCAUCUUUGGAUAUUUAAAGUUCCGACGGUACGGGAUGGGCAUGCGUAACAUUAGCUGGUUGGUAAGGUAACGGCUUACCAAGGCUAUGAUGUUUAGGGGUCCUGAGAGGGUGGUCCCCCACACUGGUACUGAGACACGGACCAGACUCCUACGGGAGCAGCAGUGAGGAAUAUUGGUCAAUGGGCGCAAGCCUGAACCAGCCAUCCCGCGUGCAGGAAGACGGCCCUAUGGGUUGUAAACUGCUUUUCCAGGGAGAGAAACUUACGCACGUGUUGCGUGACUGACGGUACCUGGGAAUAAGCAUCGGCUAACUCCGUGCCAGCAGCCGCGGUAAACUCGUUCUA